UGAAGGCUGAUGCUUCGUGUUCUUCUCCGCGGGCGCUUCGAUAUUUGUGAUCGGCAUGGCAGCUGGCUCUUCUCGUACCUCCGUUCGACAUGGCGGCAGUGUCUUCUUCCCCUUUUCUUUUUCCCCCUCAUGAAUGAUCUAUCCUGGCUGGCGACAAUGGUUCGCUUUUUCCGAUUGGCGGAGCCGUGCAUACGGCAUGGCGCUGGCGGGCUGCGGUACGGUAAAUGGUUUGGUGUCCUGCGGGUAUUCCCUUCGCUGCCUUCCCCUUUCCCUCUCCGGUAUGGCGGCGGUGUAUUAUUCCCGCUCCCCUUUUCCUUCCUCAUUAAUGGUUUGCCCUGUUACCUCUAUGCCCGGUACUGCUCCAGCGACGAGGGACCCUUUUCCGCCGAUAGACGUGCCCGUACUUUCAGUAUGGGAAUCGGGUUUCGGUAACUUCGCCUCCUCCUUUCCGGCAUGGAUGCCGGGUAAUGCUCUGUCCUUUUGCUUUCAUGCUUCCUUUUGUUGUAAUGAGUGCAGCCGUCCUUGCGACAUGGCGCUCGGUUUUGCAUGAUGGGAUCUAUAGUUGGGCUACGUGCAGGUAUUCCCCUCGGCAAGUUUGAUUGCAUUCUUUCUGCUUUGUUGCCUAUAAAUACCGAUGACCUACUGGGGUUUUUACUCCUCUUUUGCUUCACUAUUUCUACGUCCUCUGCUUUUGCGCUCUAGCUUUAUUGAGUUCUGGUGUUUGGACCUUGCAAGUCGACGCUGGGGUUUGCUGUGUGUUGGGUAGAAACCCUGAAAACCUGAAGUGGUUAUAUAUUAACAUCUAUCUCUGCUUCCUCUUGAGCUGAUUAUAUUUCCUUUCUUUGUGCAUGCGGGUUUGCUUACCACGCUUAAUGCUUGUGCGAUGGCGGGAUAAUUAUUAGGAGUGAUCUCUGCGGUAGUGGGUUAUAGCUUUGGUGCUCAUAAUUUUUUUACCCCUUUUUCUCUUUGUUCCCAAGUUUUUUUGCCCUUACUGAGUCUGAUCUUUUCCAUUCUGCUGCUAUUUUUUCUUGCAUGAUGUUGCUGGCGGUAAUAUGGUGGAAUCAUCGACGGAGUAUGUUGCUGUAGUGAUUAGUGAUGGCAGCUGUAGUUUUCAAAAUUAAUUAUCGGGAAUUGUUGCGCGACGUUUGCCAUCGGUUUUCUAUGGCAGUGCCGAUUUAUGGCGUUCCUGUCGACGAUGAGGGAUUGUUUAGUGUCUAUGGAGAGGUUGAGAUCUCUAGGGGAAAUUCAAUUACUGAAGCUAUUCGAUGUUGGGGUGCGGCUUCUUCUACUGUCGAUGAGGCAGAGGAGGAUGCUGCGCGUCGUAUUAUUGCGAAGUUACGUGAUGAAUUUAUGUUUGAGGUGCAUGAUAGUAAUUAUGAGGAUCGAAAGUUUUUUGAGAAUUUAUAUGAGCGUGUUUCUACAGAUCACAUUGCUCUACAUGCUAAAUAUAAGCGCUUGAAGAGCAAUUACGGGCUAUUAAAAGAUUACUAUAAUAACUUAUUUACUGAGAAAGAACACUUAGUUGCGGCGCGGAAAGAAAAUGGCCGAGAAUUUAGAAAAAUAUUGUUCGGUUCUUAAGCGUCCUAAACUGGUGGAGAUGAUCGAGCUAAUAGUGCGGGCCUACUCGAUGAAGAUCCUGCAGCACCACCGGAUAUUAUGGGAAGUGACGGAGGCUCUUGAACUGGACUUUCUUUUUGGGU